rnacentral:rRNA from 1 species
GUGGGGAAUUUUGGACAAUGGGGGCAACCCUGAUCCAGCCAUGCCGCGUGCGGGAAGAAGGCCUUCGGGUUGUAAACCGCUUUUGUCAGGGAAGAAAUCCUUUGGGUUAAUACCUCGGAGGGAUGACGGUACCUGAAGAAUAAGCACCGGCUAACUACGUGCCAGCAGCCGCGGUAAUACGUAGGGUGCGAGCGUUAAUCGGAAUUACUGGGCGUAAAGCGUGCGCAGGCGGUUUUGUAAGAUCGAUGUGAAAUGCCCGGGCUCAACCUGGGAACUGCAUUGGUGACUGCAAGGCUGGAGUGCGGCAGAGGGGGAUGGAAUUCCGCGUGUAGCAGUGAAAUGCGUAGAUAUGCGGAGGAACACCGAUGGCGAAGGCAAUCCCCUGGGCCUGCACUGACGCUCAUGCACGAAAGCGUGGGGAGCAAACAGGAUUAGAAACCCGGGUAGUCC